rnacentral:snRNA from 1 species
AGGUGGUAUAGGUCUUUUAGAAUUUAUUAGCAGAUUUUCGAGUCCUCACUGGAAGACACCCCC